rnacentral:rRNA from 1 species
AGUGAACGCUGGCGGUAGGCCUAACACAUGCAAGUCGAACGGCAGCACAGUAAGAGCUUGCUCUUACGGGUGGCGAGUGGCGGACGGGUGAGGAAUACAUCGGAAUCUACUUUUUCGUGGGGGAUAACGUAGGGAAACUUACGCUAAUACCGCAUACGACCUACGGGUGAAAGCAGGGGAUCUUCGGACCUUGCGCGAUUGAAUGAGCCGAUGUCGGAUUAGCUAGUUGGCGGGGUAAAGGCCCACCAAGGCGACGAUCCGUAGCUGGUCUGAGAGGAUGAUCAGCCACACUGGAACUGAGACGCGGUCCAGACUCCUACGGGAGGCAGCAGUGGGGAAUAUUGGACAAUGGGCGCAAGCCUGAUCCAGCCAUACCGCGUGGGUGAAGAAGGCCUUCGGGUUGUAAAGCCCUUUUGUUGGGAAAGAAAAGCAGCAGGUUAAUACCCCGCUGUUCUGACGGUACCCAAAGAAUAAGCACCGGCUAGCUUCGUG